AACGUAGGUGGCAAGCGUUAUCCGGAUUUACUGGGCGUAAAGGGUGUGCAGGCGGUGCUGUAAGUGGGGGGUGAAAUCUCCAGGCUUAACCUGGAGGGGUUAUGCCAGACUGCAGUUCUAGAGGGCGAGAGAGGGGGGUGGAAUUCCGGGUGUAGUGGUGAAAUGCGUAGAGAUCCGGAGGAACCCCAGAGGCGAAGGCGGCCCCCUGGCUCGUACCUGACGCUCAGACACGACAGCAUGGGGAGCGAACGGG
rnacentral:rRNA from 1 species